rnacentral:rRNA from 1 species
UACGUAGGGUGCGAGCGUUGUCCGGAUUUAUUGGGCGUAAAGAGCUCGUAGGCGGUUUGUCGCGUCGGCCGUGAAAUCUCCACGCUUAACGUGGAGCGUGCGGUCGAUACGGGCAGACUUGAGUUCGGUAGGGGAGACUGGAAUUCCUGGUGUAGCGGUGAAAUGACGCAGAUAUCAGGAGGAACACCGGUGGCGAAGGCGGGUCUCUGGGCCGAUACUGACGCUGAGGAGCGAAAGCGUGGGGAGCGAACAGG